rnacentral:rRNA from 1 species
CGGACGUACCGCUGGUGUACCAGUUGUUCCGCCAGGAGCACCGCUGGGUAGCCAAGUACGGAAGGGAUAAGCGCUGAAAGCAUCUAAGCGCGAAGCCCCCCUCAAGAUGAGAUUUCCCACGGCGCAAAGCCGGUAAGACCCCUGGAAGAUGACCAGGUCGAUAGGUUCGGGGUGGAAGCGCGGCAACGCGUGAAGCUGACGAAUACUAAUCGGUCGAGGGCUUAUCCUGA